rnacentral:misc_RNA from 1 species
CGCACCUUGCGCUCCUUGGUAUUCCGAGGAGCAUGCCUGUUUGAGUGUCAUGUAAUCUUCAACCUCUCGGGGCUUUAUUGGCUCGUAGAGGCUUGGACUUGGGAGUUCUGUUGGCCCUUCUUUGGGUCGACUCUCCUUAAAUGCAUUAGCUAGACUGAUAUAUUGGGUCUUCAGGCGUGUGAUAAACAUCAUCAUGUCUGUUGAUCUCAAAACGAAGUCGAGCUUCUAAUCGUCCUUUGGGACAAUCUUUAUUGACAAUCUGGCCUCAAAUCAGGUAGGACUACCCGCUGAACUUAA